GGGGAGGUGGCUCAGUGGGUGGGAGCACUUGCUGCUGAAGCAAGAGAGUCUGAGUUCAAACACUCAGCACUCACA
rnacentral:tRNA from 1 species